UGGCGACCAUAGCGUUUUGGACCCACCUGANCCCACCUGAUUCCAUUCCGAACUCAGAAGUGAAACGAAAUAGCGUCGAUGGUAGUGUGGGGUUUCCCCAUGUGAGAGUAGAACAUCGCCAGGCU
rnacentral:rRNA from 1 species